GGGGCGCCCAACUCUUGGGUGUCCCCUCCUUUUUCUAUCGUAGACCACCAGUAAAGGGCACAUAUUAUGUACCAUAAAAGCCAUAAAAAUUUCAAAAAAAAAUCUAGAUAAAAUCGAUACAAUAAGGAAAGAGUUUUGGUUUCUUAAAACUCUAUCUCAUAGAAUUUAAAAUCCAAACUAAUUCCUAUUUUGACUUGGUCCACAACCACAUUCCAUGUAAGAGAGAAAGAGAGAAAAAUUUUGGGCAUGCGUGAAGACUUUGGAGAGAGAGUUUUGUUGCACAAAAUAAGAGAGAGUGGGCGU
rnacentral:lncRNA from 1 species